AUGGAGUCACCUUUUUGGAAGGGUGUUACUUGGGCUUUCGAAGGGAUAAGACCUUUUUUUAAAUGGAACUUAGGCAAUGGUGACAAAAUUAGCUUCUGGGAUGACAACUGGGUGGGGGAUACUUCCCUGAAAACACAAUUUUGGGAGGUUUAUGAAAUCUGCCAACAGCAACAGUGUUCAGUUUCAGAGGUAUGGGAUGGCCUCAAUCUAAAACUUACUUUCAGUAGAUGUGUGGGGACUGAAUUCAUGGAGAGAUGGCGUGACCUGAUCCGAGUCAUCUCUACCAAAACCCUAUCUAACGAGGAGGACCAACCUGUUUGGCUUUUAGAAGCGUUAGGGACUUACUCGGUUAGAUCCUUUUAUUCCAUGAUUAACUGGGGUGGGGUUUCUACUCCUGUCUGGAAAAACUUUUGGAAGAUUGUUGUACCUCACAGGUAUCUAGUCUUUUUGUGGCUAGCUUUUAAUAAUAAAAUUCUCACCAGGGACAAUUUGAACAAAAGAAGGAUGGUGGAUAACUUAAAAUGCUUAUUCUGUGAUGAGGAGGAAUCAGUUUGCCACCUGUUCUUUGAAUGUGUAGUUGCUAGACAGGUUUGGAGUGAUGUGGCUGACUCUUUUGAGUUCAGUAUCCCUAAUAACAUGGCUGAAUUGUCUUCUUUUUGGAAUGUGAAUAAUAAGAAAUCUGUUGGCAAUAUUGCCCGUGUUGCUACUAUUUGGAGCAUUUGGACUAUGCGUAAUGAUAUGUGUUUUCAGGGAAUACCAUGGACAAGCACCCGUACAAUACUGGCAAGGAUCAGCACAUCGCUGGAAGAUUCUCUGUGGAGGCGAUCAAUCGGUCCCGCUGAGAAGAUGCCUCCAACUUCUGGAUCAGCGAAGAGGAGAGCUUCUCAGGAUUCUUGGGCCUGGGCCUGA
rnacentral:rRNA from 1 species